GAUGCUGUUUUAAUAACUAAAUUAGGACCUGUGGAGAGAAUCUCAACAAUCUUUGAAAAGAUGUUCUUUCAUAGCCUUAACCCAGUUAAGUAAUUUAACCUGGUGUAAACAAUGCCAGAAGUACACCAGUGGCCCCACCCUGCACCACACAGAUCUCUGCUUGGUCUUUUGGCCUGGGCAGCAGACGUGGAUCCAGAAAUGGAAGAAACUGAGAACAGCGGGCAGCAGACAUCCUGCCAGUAGGUCAGAGAGCCACGUGCAGGCCCCUCACCCCAGAACAGACAUCAAAUCAGCUUUCCCCAGCUGAAUCUCGAAGCAACAGCAAGUGGAGACAGGUGUGUGGGGCCCAGGACGGGCUGCACGUCAUCAUUCCACAGAAAGCAGAGCAGCUCAGGACACCACCCCCUGGAGGACCUCAGAUGCCUUCGUGCUCCAGAAUGUUCACACUUACAAGAUACUUGGGGAAAAGGAUAAACCAAGGGCUGGGCUGGAGGAAGGUGGUGUCGGGAAGCCUCUCAUGUUGUGAAGCACAGACCUGAUGGGGUCACUCCAUUGUCUGCCAGAAAAAGCUUACAUACAGCUGUAAAAUCUUAUAGAGAGAGAUCCCACACCCUGGCCCCAGCUUUCCUCAAUGGUCACAUCUCACACUCGCACAACCAGAGGACAACAUCACUGACAGAGUCAGGAUUGAAACAUUCCAUCCCCAGGAUCUCUUGUGCUGACCUUGGAGGGCCACACUCAUCUCUCUCCUUUUCCUGCCUUAACCUGC